rnacentral:ribozyme from 1 species
CAAGUAUGUCCAAGGAAGAUUUGGAACAGGCAGCUGAGAUGGCGAAGAACCAGAUGGAGAAUUUGACUCCAGACAUGGUAGAUGAAGCG